rnacentral:rRNA from 2 species
UUGGAGGGCAAGUCUGGUGCCAGCAGCCGCGGUAAUUCCAGCUCCAAUAGCGUAUAUUAAAGUUGUUGCAGUUAAAAAGCUCGUAGUUGAAUUUCGGGAUCAAUUUAUCGGUCGUGCCAAUGGUAUGAACUGGUACAAUUGGUUUCUCCCUUCUGACGAAGCAUGAUGUCAUUAAUUUGGUGUCGUGGGGAAUCAGGACUGUUACUUUGAAAAAAUUAGAGUGUUUAAAGCAAGCAUUAGCUUGAAUACAUUAGCAUGGAAUAAUGAAAUAGGACGUUUGAUCCUAUUUCGUUGGUUUCUAGGAUCGACGUAAUGAUUAAUAGGGAUAGUUGGGGGCAUUAGUAUUCAAUUGUCAGAGGUGAAAUUCUUGGAUUUAUUGAAGACUAACUACUGCGAAAGCAUUUGCCAAGGAUGUUUUCAUUAAUCAAGAACGAAAGUUAGGGGAUCGAAGACGAUCAGAUACCGUCGUAGUCUUAACCAUAAACUAUGCCGACUAGGGAUCGGAUGAUGUUAAUUUUUUAAUGACUCAUUCGGCGCCUUACGGGAAAC